UGGAACACGGGCCUCGACUGUUUACCAAAAACAUAGCCCUCGGCUAAUAUGAAAAUAGAUGUAUAGAGGGUGAUGCCUGCCCAAUGGUUGUAUCUAAAAGCGGUUGAUAAAAGUCGACCUUGUAAGGACAAUUGAAUGGCCGCGGUAACACUGACCGUGAUAAUGUAGCGUAAUCAAUAGCCAAUUAAUUGUUGGCCAGUAUGAAUGGCGCCACGAAGGCCCCACUGUCUUAAGGAAAUUCCCAGUGAAAUUGAAUUCGUAGUGAAGAUGCUACGUCCAAUUUGUUAGACGAAAAGACCCCGUUGAGCUUUACUGGAGCACUUAUAUGGCCCCGGCCUUCCCAUGCCUGGGAACCGGCCGAAUUUAAAUGGGCGGCUUAGAUUAUGUGGCAGCCCCCCGCUGGGGCAAAUGAAACACCACUCCCCCAUGUCAAAGGGGCUAACCCCCCCCUUGGGGGGGACAGUGUAAGUAGGACAGUUUGGUUGGGGCGACCGCCUUUUAAAAAGUAACGAAGGUGCGCUUAAGGUGUGCAAUUAAUGACUGAAGCCUGACUGCGAGGGGGGUACCCCGAGCAGACACCCCUAAGCCCGCCCGAAGGGCGGCGGUGGGGUGGGCCAUAGUGACCCGUUAAUUUAGAGUGGAAUAGUUAACGAUCAACGAAUAAAAG
rnacentral:rRNA from 1 species